GGGGGUGUUGCUCAGUGGUACAGCACUUGCCUAACAUGCUCAAGGUCCUGGGUUCAAUCUCCAGUACCACCU
rnacentral:tRNA from 1 species